rnacentral:rRNA from 1 species
AUUGAACGCUGGCGGCAUGCCUUACACAUGCAAGUCGAACGGCAGCACGGACUUCGGUCUGGUGGCGAGUGGCGAACGGGUGAGUAAUAUAUCGGAAUAUACCCUAGAGUGGGGGAUAACGUAGCGAAAGUUACGCUAAUACCGCAUACGAACUAAGGUUGAAAGCGGGGGAUCUUCGGACCUCGUGCUCAUGGAGUGGCCGAUAUCUGAUUAGCUAGUUGGUGAGGUAAAGGCUCACCAAGGCGACGAUCAGUAGCUGGUUUGAGAGAACGACCAGCCACACUGGAACUGAGACACGGUCCAGACUCCUACGGGAGGCAGCAGUGGGAAUUUUGGACAAUGGGCGCAAGCCUGAUCCAGCAAUGCCGCGUGAGUGAAGAAGGCCUUCGGGUU